ensembl:lncRNA
ACAUGUCCCCCCCACUUUUCAAAAUCCCGUUCGUGUCCCCCCCACUUUCAAAUUAGUUUGUUAUUAUUUUUUUUAACCGCGCGCCGUCAUCGUCACGGAGGAGCAGGACCGAGCAGAACAGACAUCCUGCCUGUCUGUGUCGAUGCGCGCGUCCGCGUACAGGCAGGGACGUCUCGUGCACACUCUAAAUAGUGUAAGCGCACUGAAAGUUCUACUGAGCAGCCGGUAUCGCAGUCAGUCAUGAAACGCCAGCAACAGAUGACUUUAAUGUCUUCAUGGAUGAAAAAAAAGAAAGGAGAUAGAACAGAUGAGGUGAAGCUGCUUAAAGACAGGGAGGGUGAGACAGGGAGAAGUAGCUCAGAGCUGCAGGUGAGACAGGGAACAGGCGCAAGCGAAGAAGUGCAGGUAGGCAGGCAGGCAGGAUGCUGAACCCAACCAUGCUAACCCGAAGCUCAUUGCAGUGCAGCAGAAUUUAUCAUUAUAAACAACUUAAUUAUUUCCUGGAUUUUGUAUCACCAUAGUCCCUAACUGUAUGUAAAUGGAGGAAAUGGGAUUCAAAU